rnacentral:lncRNA from 1 species
CUCCAAUAUCUGAGUCAAAACACUUACCUUUGGGCAGCCUGGGGUCUGUAUACUAUGUGUACAACAGAGCUAUCUGCAGUGGAGUGGACUGCAAGUUGCUGCUGUGGCUGAAGAUAAUGAAGGGAGCUCAGGGACCAGAUGAAAGGGCUCACACAGACAACCCAACCAGGCUGGAAAUGUACCAAGUGCUUCUUAGCAGCCAAGACAGAUAUGAGAUCUCCAAGGAAGAGCCAAAGACAGAGUACACCAAGUCAAAUGUUCUUUCUUUAUCUCAGGAUGUUGUUCUUUGCUAACAUAUG